rnacentral:misc_RNA from 1 species
AUCCAGCGGGCGACGACCGCCGAACAGGCGGCGCUGGCCUUCGAUCCACGCAUCACCCUGAGCGAAGGUGCCACGUUCUCACGCACGGACGGUGUCAGCGCCGUCGUGCUCUCGAGUGGCUUCUCGGGCUUGCAGCGCGGUACGUACGCGUCGCUCGCCGU